AUUGAACGCUGGCGGAAUGCUUUACACAUGCAAGUCGAGCGGCAGCGCGGGGCAACCUGGCGGCGAGCGGCGAACGGGUGAGUAAUGCAUCGGAACAUGUCCAUGUCGUGGGGGAUAGCCCGGCGAAAGCCGGAUUAAUACCGCAUACGCCCGAGAGGGGAAAGUGGGGGACCGCAAGGCCUCACGCGAUUGGGUUGGCCGAUGUCCGAUUAGCUAGUUGGUGGGGUAAAGGCNCACCAAGGCGAUGAUCGGUAGCUGGUCUGAGAGGAUGAUCAGCCACACUGGGACUGAGACACGGCCCAGACUCCUACGGGAGGCAGCAGUGGGGAAUUUUGGACAAUGGGGGCAACCCUGAUCCAGCCAUUCCGCGUGAGUGAAGAAGGCCU
rnacentral:rRNA from 1 species